rnacentral:lncRNA from 1 species
AUAGAAUGUAUGAAACAUAUUGUAUAAUGAAGUUUUAGUAGAAUUUCCUAACCUGCUUAAAUUAUAAUGAUUCCUAAAUAUACGCUUUUGUCUUCUUUUUUUACAUUGUUUUCAAGUGUUGAUAUAACUAUAGACAUGAAACGGUAUGUAAAGAAGUUCACAACUAUUCACUUGAAUCUUGAUCAUUCUUCUCAUGGAAAGCUUUAAACUAUUUUUAAGUUUAGAGUAGAAAAUUGUGCACCAAAUAGAAGUGAGAGAGAAGAGAUUGUCUUAACAGGAACAAUUUUUUCUACUAAUUUGGAAGCUAAAGUACAAAAGACAAUGCCUCGUUAAUUAUAGAUUAAAGUAAGUGAAUCUCUUACACUAUCUUCCUAAAAAUCAUUCAUUGUAAGGAUCAUCAUAUAUAUAUAUAUAUAUAUAUAUAAAAGCCUUGUCAAAUUUGAUCCACUGCUGAUAUUCGAUUUAUUCCAGUGUUAAAAAUUUUAAAUGUUACUUUUUUUUUAAUUUUAUACCCAACCUCGCAUUUCUAGUUAAAUAUAAAUCAAACUAAGAGUACUGUGUACAUAGUUCAACAACCAGUUUUGCGAAAUUAAAAGUAUCGAACAUUUUGAAAGUAAUGCUGAUGGUAACAAUAACAACUAUUGGGUGAAGUUUACUAAACAAAAAUGCAUGCAAUCUAUUUGCAUAUAUAUAUAUAUAUAUAUAUAUAUAUAUUUACCUAAGACCUCUGUGAUUUUCAUUAUCAUCCAAAUCCACAAGAUUCAUAAGAAGAACGUUCAAUAAAAAUAAAAUUGCCACAACUAUAACUAUAUUAAAACUGUUAGCACUAUAAUUUUCUGAGAGCGAAAAAAGAAAAGAAAAGAAAAAAGACGGCUCAAUCACCGAUUAUCACAGAAUUUAAUUAUUAUUUAUUAUUUGCAAACAUAUGUCUGUGCAGUAAUUAAUUGACGAUUCCAUAUAAAAAACAUGUUACAUUAAACUAUCCAGAUUUUGAAUCAGAACGUCAGGGGAUGAACUGAAACAUAACCGACGACGAUCCUUUGGGAAGGCCGGAUCGGGGGAGACGGGACGGGAGGGGGACCUGGUGCAGCAGCAGGGAAGGGACGCCAUCGGAAGGUCAGGAUCCAUUCCAAACUGUGAGGGAGAGGCGCAGGAUGGGCUUUUCAGGACGGAACUGGACAGCAUGGCAUCAGCAUGGGGCGAGGAGCCUGGCCAAUCGGGAUUCCUCCACGUGGCGUCUCGUUCACGCGGGAAGAGCUGGCACGUCCAGCUCACACUGCCCGCGGGGAGUGGGACAGAGUCUGACAUGGCGUUCAUUCCGAGGUCACCUCACCCCCAAGGAUCCCUGUUUCCCGCCUCCCGGACGAUUUCGUGACUGCCCAGGUGGCCUAGGGCACGGGUCCCACUGCCCGUUUUUCUCCAGACAUUUCUACCACUUGGAAACACCCUUGUGUAUGUGUGUGUGUACAUAUAUAGUAUAGUGUACUAUAGAGAAUCCCUUCAUAAAGGCAUACGGGUUUUCUUGUCUACCGAUAAGACUGUUGUUCAUCUCGGUAUGAAAAUUGUUGAUUCAGAUUUUACAACCUUAAUGAGGACAUGGUUGCAUUUGUCUCAAUCUAAAAAAAAAAUCCCUGGGGUGUGUAUCUUGGUGUGUGUAUUAAUAAAGAAGAGAAAACGAGUAAUAAAUAAUGUUGCUCCAUUUUUCAAUGGAAAUAUGACUGUGUAAUCAUCACACCAAAUAUCGAAAUCUUUCCUGAAUCUAUUGAAUGAUAUUUUUAAGCAUUUUUAAAACGAAAGUUGUCUAUGAUUUUUGUAAUGGAAUUGUAAAGGUCAACAGAGACACUUGGAACUGUAGUGGAUUGGAAUGCAAGAAAACCAGCGAAGAACACAGUGAGGGAGGAGCAUUUAAAGAAAGAGAUUCUGGAAGCAUCCAUCGAACACGGGUGGAAACAAAUAGGCAGCACCUGCACAAGCACAAGGAAAAGGAAAACUCGGGGAAAACAAACAAAAAAGAAGAAAAAAAGAAAAAAAGAGAUCAAAUAAAGGAGAGAAACAAUAAAGAAGCUUGGCCCAACAAUGGCUCCGAAGGCCGCACUCGGUCCACCAUUAUUGGUAUCUCGUAGCCCCUCAAGAGUUUCUCGCAUUGCGUCAUUCAUC